GACCACGAUCCAACCCUAAAUACUAAUACCAGAUCGAUAGUGCACAAGUACCGUGAGGGAAAGGUGAAAAGAACUGAGGUGAUCAGAGUGAAAUAGAACCUGAAACCAUUUGCUUACAAUCAUUCAGAGCACUAUGUAGCAAUACAGUGUGAUGGACUGCCUUUUGCAUAAUGAGCCUGCGAGUUGUGGUGUCUGGCAAGGUUAAGCAAACGCGAAGCCGUAGCGAAAGCGAGUCUGAAUAGGGCGCUUAGUCAGAUGCUGCAGACCCGAAACGAAGUGAUCUAUCCAUGAGCAAGUUGAAGCUAGUGUAAGAACUAGUGGAGGACUGAACCCAUAGGCGUUGAAAAGCCCCGGGAUGACUUGUGGAUAGGGGUGAAAGGCCAAUCAAACUUCGUGAUAGCUGGUUCUCUCCGAAAUAUAUUUAGGUAUAGCGUUGUGUCGUAAUAUAAGGGGGUAGAGCACUGAAUGGGCUAGGGCAUACACCAAUGUACCAAACCCUAUCAAACUCCGAAUACCUUAUAUGUAAUCACAGCAGUCAGGCGGCGAGUGAUAAAAUCCGUCGUCAAGAGGGAAACAACCCAGACUACCAGCUAAGGUCCCUAAAUCUUACUUAAGUGGAAAACGAUGUGAAGUUACUUAAACAACCAGGAGGUUGGCUUAGAAGCAGCCAUCCUUUAAAGAAAGCGUAAUAGCUCACUGGUCUAGUGAUUUUGCGCGGAAAAUAUAACGGGGCUAAAGUAAGUACCGAAGCUGUAGACUUGCACACAACUUAGAUUAUUUAAGUUUAGAAUAAGUAGUUUAAGUUGUGUGCAAGUGGUAGGAGAGCGUUCUAUUUGCGUCGAAGGUA
rnacentral:rRNA from 1 species